rnacentral:lncRNA from 1 species
GGUAAGCUUGGUACUACCUCUUUGUUUCCUUGUUUUCUUUGUUAUUGAAGAGUAAUGGAUAGUUUCUUAAUAUUGAGAAGUGAGUCUGUGGAAUAAAUCAAAGAUUGAUUUAUGAGUUAUUGAUUAUGUAAUUGGAGUACUGAGUGAUUGGAUUAUAUGAGGAGUUAUUGGAAGAUUAUGAUUGUUGUUUAUUGAGAGCUGUGUGUGUUUUAGACAAAGGAAGUUGGUGAUUACAGAAAUUCUGUGAAUUCAGAUUGGUUGGAAUGAAGUCUAUUAUUUCUGGUGUUAGAUGGAAAUUAUGUGUUUUGAGCGGUCUUUUGAGAGUGCAGAAAUGC